UGGGUAAUUAACUCAGUGACAGAGUGUUUCGUUUACAUCGAAGAGGAUAAGGGUUCGAUCCCCUUAUAACCCAU
rnacentral:tRNA from 1 species